UGGGGGAUAUUGCGCAAUGGGGGCAACCCUGACGCAGCAACGCCGCGUGAAGGAUGAAGGUUUUCGGAUUGUAAACUUCUUUUAUUAAGGACGAAAAAUGACGGUACUUAAUGAAUAAGCUCCGGCUAACUACGUGCCAGCAGCCGCGGUAAUACGUAGGGAGCGAGCGUUGUCCGGAAUUACUGGGUGUAAAGGGAGCGUAGGCGGGAUCGCAAGUCAGAUGUGAAAACUAUGGGCUUAACCCAUAAACUGCAUUUGAAACUGUGGUUCUUGAGUGAAGUAGAGGUAAGCGGAAUUCCUAGUGUAGCGGUGAAAUGCGUAGAUAUUAGGAGGAACAUCAGUGGCGAAGGCGGCUUACUGGGCUUUAACUGACGCUGAGGCACGAAAGCGUGGGUAGCAAACAGGAUUAGAUACCCUGGUAGUCCACGCUGUAAACGAUGAUUACUAGGUGUGGGGGGUCUGACCCCUUCCGUGCCGGAGUUAACACAAUAAGUAAUCCACCUGGGGAGUACGGCCGCAAGGUUGAAACUCAAAGGAAUUGACGGGGGCCCGCACAAGCAGUGGAGUAUGUGGUUUAAUUCGAAGCAACGCGAAGAACCUUACCAGGUCUUGACAUCCAACUAACGAAGUAGAGAUACAUUAGGUGCCCUUCGGGGAAAGUUGAGACAGGUGGUGCAUGGUUGUCGUCAGCUCGUGUCGUGAGAUGUUGGGUUAAGUCCCGCAACGAGCGCAACCCUUGCUAUUAGUUGCUACGCAAGAGCACUCUAAUAGGACUGCCGUUGACAAAACGGAGGAAGGUGGGGACGACGUCAAAUCAUCAUGCCCCUUAUGACCUGGGCUACACACGUACUACAAUGGAUGUUAACAGAGGGAAGCAAGACAGCGAUGUGGAGCAAACCCCUAAAAACAUUCUCAGUUCAGAUUGCAGGCUGCAACCCGCCUGCAUGAAGAUGGAAUUGCUAGUAAUCGCGGAUCAGCAUGCCGCGGUGAAUACGUUCCC
rnacentral:rRNA from 2 species